CAGCAGAAAAUCUUCCAAAAAACCCAUUGCCCUCUUAGCUGGAACUGUGUUCUGGAAGGAAAACCGGGCCUGGAGAACAAUACACAGCUUUUUUAAUGAGAAAACAGGGCUUGCCUGCUAAAGAGACAGAUCCUGGAGCCCCAGCCCAGAAGCCCUGGUGGAAAGGCCUGAGGACGUUUAGAAAAGCGGAGUGGACUUCGAAGUCGCUGCUGAUGGGCGAGACAGGACCGGUCAGGAAUGGAAACAACACAGAUCGGGGCAAAAACUCCCCCUUGCUGCAUCUGAACCAUCAGGGAUGUGCCAGUUGGGUUCUCUAGGAAGACGAGAGAGGACCAAGGCAAGAUGACUCGGGGCAUAUGAGAAUGAGCCAUUAGUAGCUGUCAAGUCCUGUGGGGGGCACAAAGUUCAAUGGAUUGGGUGGGGCUGAGCUGGGUUCUGAUCCCAUUUCUGGCACCUCAUAAGUGAGAGAGCUCUGACACCAGUGUUGGGAUCCUGACGCCCACGUCUUCACUUCCGCACCUGACAAAAGCUUUCGGGGACUGUGGCGAGGAUUACAAACGAUGCCUCUGCUGGGUUCUAAACCAUAUUCACACUCGACUCUUAACCUCAGACACCAGGCACAGAGCUAUGUGGUCGAAAACGUGGCUUCCCGAGCCGGGCUGCUUGGAGUCAAGUCCGGGCAGCGACCUUGAAGCACUGCAUUUGAUCGAAGUCUCAGAGUCCUAACCAGAAGAUAGGGGUAGUAAUGGCCCUCGCUUCGCGGGUAAUUCUGAGAAUUAAACCUAUGCAAACGCAGCUCAGCCUGAGAACAGAUGCCAAGAGACCUGGUAGAGGGAGGAGGUGCAGUACCGGGAGCAUCCAGAAGUUUCUGACAAGAAUCAAGUCCUAUUAACCUAAAACACCAGCGUCACAUGGAUCAAUUCGUGCUGCACAGGUUGCCAGGAAAGAAAGGAUUCAGGCCCCAGAAAGUGCUUCAACUCUGAAAAUCUCAACACAUAUAAGGUAAGGUCGGAGUUGAUGGCUGUGGCCCUGGGCGUGGCUGUUCUAUCCUGAGCAUCUUCUGGCCUCUGAAGAAAGCCAUGAAGAAAGCCAUCCGUGUGGCGUACAGGUGGGUUUCCUGGGUGUUUGUGGAGCUGUUUAAGCGUCUGUCGGCGGGGGGCAGGGGGGUGCUGGUUUCCUA
rnacentral:lncRNA from 1 species